rnacentral:rRNA from 1 species
UGAGUAACACGUGGGCAAUCUGCCCUGCACUUCGGGAUAAGCCUGGGAAACUGGGUCUAAUACCGGAUAGGACCUUUAGGCGCAUGCCUUUUGGUGGAAAGCUUUUGCGGUGUGGGAUGGGCCCGCGGCCUAUCAGCUUGUUGGUGGGGUGAUGGCCUACCAAGGCGACGACGGGUAGCCGGCCUGAGAGGGUGUCCGGCCACACUGGGACUGAGAUACGGCCCAGACUCCUACGGGAGGCAGCAGUGGGGAAUAUUGCACAAUGGGCGCAAGCCUGAUGCAGCGACGCCGCGUGGGGGAUGACGGCCUUCGGGUUGUAAACCUCUUUCACCAUCGACGAAGGUCCGGGUUUUCUCGGAUUGACGGUAGGUGGAGAAGAAGCACCGGCCAACUACGUGCCAGCAGCCGCGGUAAUACGUAGGGUGCGAGCGUUGUCCGGAAUUACUGGGCGUAAAGAGCUCGUAGGUGGUUUGUCGCGUUGUUCGUGAAAUCUCACGGCUUAACUGUGAGCGUGCGGGCGAUACGGGCAGACUAGAGUACUGCAGGGGAGACUGGAAUUCCUGGUGUAGCGGUGGAAUGCGCAGAUAUCAGGAGGAACACCGGUGGCGAAGGCGGGUCUCUGGGCAGUAACUGACGCUGAGGAGCGAAAGCGUGGGGAGCGAACAGGAUUAGAUACCCUGGUAGUCCACGCCGUAAACGGUGGGUACUAGGUGUGGGUUUCCUUCCUUGGGAUCCGUGCCGUAGCUAACGCAUUAAGUACCCCCGCCUGGGGAGUACGGGCCGCAAGGCUAAAACUCAAAGGAAUUGACGGGGGGCCCGCACAA